GACGUAGGAGGCGAGCGUUAUCCGGAUUCACUGGGCGUAAAGCGCAUGUAGGCGGAUGUCUAAGUCGUGUGUUAAAGCCCCUGGCUCAACUGGGGGAGGUCAUGCGAGACUGGAUGACUUGAGGGCAACAGAGGCACGUGGAACUCCCGGUGUAGCGGUGGAAUGCGUAGAUAUCUGGAGGAACACCGGUGGCGAAGGCGGCAUCCUGGACCAAUUCUGACGCUGAGGAGCGAAAGCCAGGGGAGCAAACGGG
rnacentral:rRNA from 1 species